rnacentral:rRNA from 1 species
CGCAAUGGGCGAAAGCCUGAUGGAGCGACGCCGCGUGAUUGAUGAAGUCUUUCGGGAUGUAAAGAUCUUUUAUGAGGGAGAAAGGCCGCAAGGCUUGAUAGUACCUCAUGAAUAAGGGGUUGCUAAACUCGUGCCAGCAGCAGCGGUAAUACGAGUGCCCCGAGCGUUAUCCGGAAUUAUUGGGCGUAAAGGGUGUGUAGGUGGCUGUGUUAGUCGUUUGUCAAAGCUCCCGGCUUAACCGGGAAAAGGCGGGCGAAACGGCACGGCUAGAGAGUGCGAGAGGUUGAUGGAACUCAUGGUGUAGGGGUGAAAUCCGUUAAUAUCAUGGGGAACACCGAAGGCGAAGGCAGUCAACUGGCGCAUUUCUGACACUGAAACACGAAAGCGU